GGUCUUUUAGUAUAAGUGGAUGUACAGAAACCCUUCAAGUUUCUAGUGUCAGUUCGAUUCUGAUAAAGGCUA
rnacentral:tRNA from 1 species